rnacentral:rRNA from 1 species
UGGGGAAUUUUGCACAAUGGGGGAAACCCUGAUGCAGCGACGCCGCGUGAUUUAGAAGGCCUUCGGGUUGUAAAAAUCUUUUUUACGGGAUGAAAAUGACAGUACCGUAAGAAUAAGGUCCGGCUAAAUACGUGCCAGCAGCCGCGGUAAUACGUAUGGACCGAGCGUUGUCCGGAAUCAUUGGGCGUAAAGGGUACGUAGGCGGCCUAGUAAGUUAGAAGUGAAAUAAUAUAGCUCAACUAUAUAAAGCUUUUAAAACUGCUAGGCUUGAGAGAUGGAAGGGAAAGUGGAAUUCCUAGUGUAGCGGUGAAAUGCGCAGAUAUUAGGAAGAAUACCGGUGGCGAAGGCGACUUUCUGGUCAUCAUCUGACGCUGAGGUACAAAAGCGUGGGUAGCAAACAGG